UCUUGCGCAAUGGGCGAAAGCCUGACGCAGCAACGCCGCGUGCGGGAUGAAGGCCUUCGGGCUGUAAACCGCUUUCAGCAGGAACGAAAAUGACGGUACCUGCAGAAGAAGGAGCGGCCAACUACGUGCCAGCAGCCGCGGUGACACGUAGGCUCCAAGCGUUGUCCGGAUUUAUUGGGCGUAAAGAGCUCGUAGGCGGUUUAGUAAGUCGGGUGUUAAAACUCUGGGCUCAACCCGGAGAGGCCAUCCGAUACUGCUGUGACUUGAGUUCAGGAGGGGAGCGGGGAAUUCCUAGUGUAGCGGUGAAAUGCGCAGAUAUUAGGAGGAACACCGGUGGCGAAGGCGCCGCUCUGGACUGAAACUGACGCUGAGAGCGAAA
rnacentral:rRNA from 1 species